rnacentral:rRNA from 1 species
CCUACGGGUGGCAGCAGUGAGGAAUAUUGGUCAAUGGACGCAAGUCUGAACCAGCCAAGCCGCGUGAAGGAAGACGGUCCUAUGGGUUGUAAACUGCUUUUGUAGAAGAGCAAAACUCAACACGUGUAUUCUUCCGAGAGUACCCUACGAAAAAGCAUCGGCUAACUCCGUGCCAGCAGCCGCGGUAAUACGGAGGAUCCAAGCGUUAUCCGGAUUUAUUGGGUUUAAAGGGUGCGCAGGCGGAAUAUAAAGUCAGCGGUAAAAGUUCGGGGCUAAACCUGUUCGCGCCGUUGAAACUGGUGUUCUUGAGUGAAGGAGCGGUAGGCGGAAUGUAUGGUGUAGCGGUGAAAUGCAUAGAUAUCAUGCAGAACACCGAUUGCGAAGGCAGCUUACC